GUGGAUGUAGUUUAAUAAAAUACUGGGCCGUGGCCCUAGAGAUAAAGCAGCAGUCUUUCAUCCACC
rnacentral:tRNA from 1 species